rnacentral:rRNA from 1 species
GGAAUCUUCCACAAUGGGCGAAAGCCUGAUGGAGCGACGCCGCGUGCAGGAUGAAGGCCCUCGGGUUGUAAACUGCUUUUAUAAGUGAAGAAUAUGACGGUAACUUAUGAAUAAGCACCGGCUAACUACGUGCCAGCAGCCGCGGUCAUACGUAGGGUGCAAGCAUUAUCCGGAGUGACUGGGCGUAAAGAGUUGCGUAGGUGGUUUGUUAAGUGAAUAGUGAAAUCUGGCGGCUCAACCGUACAGGCUAUUAUUCAAACUGGCAGACUCGAGAAUGGUAGAGGUAACUGGAAUUUCUUGUGUAGGAGUGAAAUCCGUAGAUAUAAGAAGGAACACCAAUGGCGUAGGCAGGUUACUGGACCAUUUCUGACACUGAGGCACGAAAGCGUGGGGAGCGAACG